GGAGAGGUGCCGGAGUGGUCGAACGGGGCGGUCUCGAAAACCGUUGUGGGUGCAAGCCCACCCAGGGUUCGAAUCCCUGUCUCUCCGCCA
rnacentral:tRNA from 161 species